UACGUAGGGUGCAAGCGUUGUCCGGAAUUAUUGGGCGUAAAGGGCUCGUAGGCGGUCCAUCACGUCGGGAGUGAAAAGCUGGGGCUUAACCCCAGUCCUGCUUCCGAUACGGGUGGACUAGAGGUAGGCAGGGGAGAACGGAAUUCCUGGUGUAGCGGUGAAAUGCGCAGAUAUCGAGAGGAACACCUGCGGCGAAGGCGGGUUGCUGGGCUGAUACUGACGCUGAGGCGCGAAAGCCAGGGGAGCGAACGGG
rnacentral:rRNA from 1 species